rnacentral:rRNA from 1 species
CCUACGGGCUGCAGCAGUGGGGAAUAUUGGGCAAUGGGCGCGAGCCUGAACCAGCCAAGUAGCGUGAAGGAUGACUGCCCUACGGGUUGUAAACUUCUUUUAUAAAGGAAUAAAGUGAGGCACGUGUGCCUUUUUGUAUGUACUUUAUGAAUAAGGAUCGGCUAACUCCGUGCCAUCAGCCGCGGUAAUACGGAGGAUCCGAGCGUUAUCCGGAUUUAUUGGGUUUAAAGGGAGCGUAGAUGGGUUGUUAAGUCAGUUGUGAAAGUUUGCGGCUCAACCGUAAAAUUGCAAUUGAUACUGGCAGUCUUGAGUACAGUUGAGGUAGGCGGAAUUCGUGGUGUAGCGGUGAAAUGCUUAGAUAUCACGAAGAACUCCGAUUGCGAAGGCAGCUUACUAAACUGCCACUGACAUUGAUGCUCGAAAGUGUGGGUAUCAAACAGGAUUAGAUACCCGGGUAGUC